rnacentral:rRNA from 1 species
ACCGGCAGCCAUAUCACCCUGUAGCCCAAGCCUGGUUGCCCACUGAAGCUAAGCAGGGCUGAGCUGGUCAGUAUUAAUUAAUUGUAAAUAUCACAACAACAAAUAUUUUUGCCUCAAAAUCCAUUUAUGCUUGUC